rnacentral:lncRNA from 1 species
GUAAAGUGAAAAAUCAACCUAGGAUAUAGUUAUUCCUUCUAAUCUCUUAUCAGUUCCUUCUGGUGUGCAAAGAGUUAGGAUAGCUGAGCACACUGCAUAGGGCACCUUUGGACUAGAUACUUGACUUUGUGGUGGAUGAAGUAUUAAUGCCACUGCUGGAUGGGGCAGAAGAGCCAAAUAUUUUCCUGUUAAUAGCUUUGGAUGAGCCCAGGUCUGCCUCCUGGAUUUUACUGCUGGACUGUCAUAUAUGUGUUCUCUAAACAUCUGAUUUGUUCCAGGAAAUCACAUGCAGAUACAGCGCUUCCCUUCACAGCAACCAGAUGCAUGUUUUGAAUUGACACAGGCAGUUUAUCCAUAUUCCUGGACUGCUAAGCACUACUUUCAGCAACUCUCAGGGCUAGAACUCAUUCCCUGGGAAAUUUCUUUCCUGAUGAAUCUUCAAGAUUUACCAGCAGGAGUGCAGAUCUGAGAUAAAACGACCCAUCUUUGUAAGAAAUCUCUUUCUGGAGUUGACCUCAGGGAAACAAACACUAAUUCAUCUUGCUUGUGCUACAUGUCUACUUUAUUUGAAAAUAUAACUUUCUGUAUUCAUUCUUCCCCCCCUGAGUCCUACCUAUAUCCUCAGUGCCUGUGCACAGUUCAAAUUCCCUUGCAGUGUGUCUGCUGGUUUUCUUUCCUGAAAGAAUCUGUUAAGCAUUUUUUAAUGCUGCGUUUUCCUUUCAUUGUGGGUAUGUCUACCUUCCUCCUUCCUACAGCAUACUUUCUUACCUAUUUUUUUUUUAUAAUAACAUAUAGUGGUGCUCUUUAUUUUUUUCUCCCAGGCUUCUUUCAGAUGGCAGAGACCAGCUUCUGAUACUGAAGUUUCACUAAAACCAAUGGCAGCAAUGUGAAUGUGCACCCAUUGAGAAAUUGGCCCCAGUCACGUGUUUCCUGAAAUCAUUUGCUUAGAAUAAAGGUUUAAUGCCCCAUCAUGUUUGUGUUGUUUUAUACUCCUUAUGGUUUGGAUUUCCUUUUAGAAUCCUAAAAGGGUUUGGCCUCAGAAAGCUUUGAUUACUGCCUGAAAUUUUAUGCUUAACGGUUAUUUCUGGAAAGAAGUGCUCAUGUGUCUCCGUGCGAUUAAUGACAUAGCUAUUUUUAUCUCAUUCCUGAGCAAAGACAGCAGAAUCUGCAAGCGCUCAG